GUCCACACCGUAAACGAUGAUUACUAGAUUUUGGCCGCAAGGUCAGAGUCCAAGCGAAAGUGUUUAGUAAUCCACCUGGGGAGUACGUCCGCAAGGAUGAAACUCAAAGGAAUUGACGGGGGCCCGCACAAGCGGUGGAGCAUGUGGUUUAAUUCGAUGAUACGCGAGGAACCUUACCUGGGCUUGAAAGUUAGUGACCGCUCCUGAAAGGGAGCUUCCCGCAAGGGCACGAACUAGGUGCUGCAUGGCUGUCGU
rnacentral:rRNA from 1 species